UGCACCCUACGGGGCGCAGCAGUGGGGAAUAUUGGGCAAUGGGCGCAAGCCUGACCCAGCAACGCCGCGUGAAGGAAGAAGGCUUUCGGGUUGUAAACUUCUUUUAAGAGGGAAGAGCAGAAGACGGUACCUCUUGAAUAAGCCACGGCUAACUACGUGCCAGCAGCCGCGGUAAUACGUAGGUGGCAAGCGUUGUCCGGAUUUACUGGGUGUAAAGGGCGUGCAGCCGGGAAGACAAGACAGAUGUGAAAUACCGCGGCUCACCAGCGGAACUGCAUUUGAAACUGUUUUUCUUGAGUA
rnacentral:rRNA from 1 species